GAAACGACAUCGAAAGCUUGCUUUUGAUGGGCGUCGACCGGCGCACGGGUGAGUAACGCGUAUCCAACCUGCCCACCACUUGGGGAUAACCUUGCGAAAGUAAGACUAAUACCCAAUGACGUCUCUAGAAGACAUCUGAAGGAGAUUAAAGAUUUAUCGGUGAUGGAUGGGGAUGCGUCUGAUUAGCUUGUUGGCGGGGUAACGGCCCACCAAGGCUACGAUCAGUAGGGGUUCUGAGAGGAAGGUCCCCCACAUUGGAACUGAGACACGGUCCAAACUCCUACGGGAGGCAGCAGUGAGGAAUAUUGGUCAAUGGGCGAGAGCCUGAACCAGCCAAGUAGCGUGCAGGAUGACGGCCCUAUGGGUUGUAAACUGCUUUUAUAAGGGAAUAAAGUGAGCCUCGUGAGGCUUUUUGCAUGUACCUUAUGAAUAAGGACCGGCUAAUUCCGUGCCAGCAGCCGCGGUAAUACGGAAGGUCCGGGCGUUAUCCGGAUUUAUUGGGUUUAAAGGGAGCGUAGGCCGGAGAUUAAGCGUGUUGUGAAAUGUAGACGCUCAACGUCUGCACUGCAGCGCGAACUGGUUUCCUUGAGUACGCACAAAGUGGGCGGAAUUCGUGGUGUAGCGGUGAAAUGCUUAGAUAUCACGAAGAACUCCGAUUGCGAAGGCAGCUCACUGGAGCGCAACUGACGCUGAAGCUCGAAAGUGCGGGUAUCGAACAGGAUUAGAUACCCUGGUAGUCCGCACGGUAAACGAUGGAUGCCCGCUGUUGGUCUGAAUAGGUCAGCGGCCAAGCGAAAGCAUUAAGCAUCCCACCUGGGGAGUACGCCGGCAACGGUGAAACUCAAAGGAAUUGACG
rnacentral:rRNA from 1 species